rnacentral:rRNA from 1 species
GUGUCAGCAGCCGCGGUAACACCGGCGGCCCGAGUGGUGAUCGUGAUUAUUGGGUCUAAAGGGUCCGUAGCCGGUUUGGUCAGUCCUCCGGGAAAUCUGAUAGCUCAACUAUUAGGCUUUCGGGGGAUACUGCCAGACUUGGAACCGGGAGAGGUAAGAGGUACUACAGGGGUAGGAGUGAAAUCUUGUAAUCCCUGUGGGACCACCUGUGGCGAAGGCGUCUUACCAGAACGGGUUCGACGGUGAGGGACGAAAGCUGGGGGCACGAACCGGAUUAGAUACCCCCGUAGUCC